rnacentral:rRNA from 1 species
AUUGAACGCUGGCGGCAGGCCUAACACAUGCAAGUCGAGCGGAUGAAGGGAGCUUGCUCCUGGAUUCAGCGGCGGACGGGUGAGUAAUGCCUAGGAAUCUGCCUGGUAGUGGGGGAUAACGUCCGGAAACGGGCGCUAAUAACGCAUACGUCCUGAGGGAGAAAGUGGGGGAUCUUCGGACCUCACGCUAUCAGAUGAGCCUAGGUCGGAUUAGCUAGUUGGUGGGGUAAAGGCCUACCAAGGCGACGAUCCGUAACUGGUCUGAGAGGAUGAUCAGUCACACUGGAACUGAGACACGGUCCAGACGCCUACGGGAGGCAGCAGUGGGGAAUAUUGGACAAAGGGCGAAAGCCUGAUCCAGCCAUGCCGCGUGUGUGAAGAAGGUCUUCGGAUUGUAAAGCACUUUAAGUUGGGAGGAAGGGCAGUAAGUUAAUACCUGGCUGUUUUGACGUUACCAACAGAAUAAGCACCGGCUAACUUCGUG